UACGUAGGGGGCAAGCGUUGUCCGGAAUUAUUGGGCGGUAAAGAGCUCGUAGGCGGUUUGUCGCGUCUGCGUGUGAAAACCUAAGGCUCAACCUUGGGCUUGCAGUGGGUACGGGCAGACUAGAGUGCGGUAGGGGUGACUGGAAUUCCUGGUGUAGCGGUGGAAUGCGCAGAUAUCAGGAGGAACACCGAUGGGCGAAGGCAGGUCACUGGGC
rnacentral:rRNA from 1 species